rnacentral:misc_RNA from 1 species
AACGCACAUUGCGCCCCUUGGUAUUCCGAGGGGCAUGCCUGUUCGAGCGUCAUUAUAACCAAUCACGCCUGGCGUGGUCUUGGGGUUCGCGUCCAGCGGCCCUUAAAACCAGUGGCGGUGUCCGUUGGGCUCUAAGCGUAGUAAUUAUUCUCGCUUCUGGGCUCUGCGGGUACCUGCCAUAACCCCAACUUUCUCAGGUUGACCUCGGAUCAGGUAGGGAUACCCGCUGAACUUAA